UACAGAGGGGGCAAGCGUUGUUCGGAAUUACUGGGCGUAAAGGGCGCGUAGGCGGCCUUCUAAGUCGAACGUGAAAUCCCCGGGCUCAACCCGGGAACUGCGUCCGAGACUGGAAGGCUUGAAUCCGGGAGAGGGAUGUGGAAUUCCAGGUGUAGCGGUGAAAUGCGUAGAUAUCUGGAGGAACAUCGGUGGCGAAGGCGGCAUCCUGGACCGGUAUUGACGCUGAGGCGCGAAAGCCAGGGGAGCAAACAGG
rnacentral:rRNA from 1 species